GUGCCAGCAGCCGCGGUAAUACGUAGGGGGCAAGCGUUGUCCGGAAUCAUUGGGCGUAAAGAGCGCGUAGGCGGCCCAGUAAGUCCGCUCUGAAAGUCAGGGGCUCAACCCCUGGAUGCGGGUGGAUACUGCUGGGCUAGAGUCCGGAAGAGGCGAGUGGAAUUCCUGGUGUAGCGGUGAAAUGCGCAGAUAUCAGGAGGAACACCGAUGGCGAAGGCAGCUCGCUGGGACGGUACUGACGCUGAGGCGCGAAAGCGUGGGGAGCAAACAGGAUUAGAAACCCCCGUAGUCC
rnacentral:rRNA from 1 species